rnacentral:tRNA from 6 species
GCGGACGUGGCGAAAUCGGUAGACGCAGCAGACUUAAAAUCUGCCAUCCUCUGGAUAUCCGGGUUCAAGUCCCGGCGUCCGCACCA